rnacentral:siRNA from 1 species
CACAACGUGUUGUUCAGCGUGGU